CUUUAUCGGAGAGUUUGAUCCUGGCUCAGGACGAACGCUGGCGGCGUGCCUAAUACAUGCAAGUCGAGCGGACAGAUGGGAGCUUGCUCCCUGAUGUUAGCGGCGGACGGGUGAGUAACACGUGGGUAACCUGCCUGUAAGACUGGGAUAACUCCGGGAAACCGGGGCUAAUACCGGAUGGUUGUUUGAACCGCAUGGUUCAAACAUAAAAGGUGGCUUCGGCUACCACUUACAGAUGGACCCGCGGCGCAUUAGCUAGUUGGUGAGGUAAUGGCUCACCAAGGCAACGAUGCGUAGCCGACCUGAGAGGGUGAUCGGCCACACUGGGACUGAGACACGGCCCAGACUCUACGGGAGGCAGCAGUAGGGAAUCUUCCGCAAUGGACGAAAGUCUGACGGAGCAACGCCGCGUGAGUGAUGAAGGUUUUCGGAUCGUAAAGCUCUGUUGUUAGGGAAGAACAAGUACCGUUCGAAUAGGGCGGUACCUUGACGGUACCUAACCAGAAAGCCACGGCUAACUACGUGCCAGCAGCCGCGGUAAUACGUAGGUGGCAAGCUUUGUCCGGAAUUAUUGGGCGUAAAGGGCUCGCAGGCGGUUUCUUAAGUCUGAUGUGAAAGCCCCCGGCUCAACCGGGGAGGGUCAUUGGAAACUGGGGAACUUGAGUGCAGAAGAGGAGAGUGGAAUUCCACGUGUAGCGGUGAAAUGCGUAGAGAUGUGGAGGAACACCAGUGGCGAAGGCGACUCUCUGGUCUGUAACUGACGCUGAGGAGCGAAAACGUGGGGAGCGAACAGGAUUAGAUACCCUGGUAGUCCACGCCGUAAACGAUGAGUGCUAAGUGUUAGGGGGUUUCCGCCCCUUAGUGCUGCAGCUAACGCAUUAAGCACUCCGCCUGGGGAGUACGGUCGCAAGACUGAAACUCAAAGGAAUUGACGGGGGCCCGCACAAGCGGUGGAGCAUGUGGUUUAAUUCGAAGCAACGCGAAGAACCUUACCAGGUCUUGACAUCCUCUGACAAUCCUAGAGAUAGGACGUCCCCUUCGGGGGCAGAGUGACAGGUGGUGCAUGGUUGUCGUCAGCUCGUGUCGUGAGAUGUUGGGUUAAGUCCCGCAACGAGCGCAACCCUUGAUCUUAGUUGCCAGCAUUCAGUUGGGCACUCUAAGGUGACUGCCGGUGACAAACCGGAGGAAGGUGGGGAUGACGUCAAAUCAUCAUGCCCCUUAUGACCUGGGCUACACACGUGCUACAAUGGACAGAACAAAGGGCAGCGAAACCGCGAGGUUAAGCCAAUCCCACAAAUCUGUUCUCAGUUCGGAUCGCAGUCUGCAACUCGACUGCGUGAAGCUGGAAUCGCUAGUAAUCGCGGAUCAGCAUGCCGCGGUGAAUACGUUCCCGGGCCUUGUACACACCGCCCGUCACACCACGAGAGUUUGUAACACCCGAAGUCGGUGAGGUAACCUUUUAGGAGCCAGCCGCCGAAGGUGGGACAGAUGAUUGGGGUGAAGUCGUAACAAGGUAGCCGUAUCGGAAGGUGCGGCUGGAUCACCUCCUUUCUAAGGAUAU
rnacentral:rRNA from 1 species